GGGAAUAUGGCUUAGUGGUAGAGUGCAUGCCUAGCGUGUAUGAAGUCCUGGGUUUAAUUCCUCAGUACCA
rnacentral:tRNA from 1 species